UACGUAGGGUGCAAGCGUUGUCCGGAAUUAUUGGGCGUAAAAAAGCGCGUAGGCGGCCCAGUAAGUCCGCUCUGAAAGUCAGGGGGCUCAACCCCCUGAAUGCGGGUGGAUACUGCUGGGGCUAGAGUCCGGAAGAGGCGAGUGGAAUUCCUGGUGUAGCGGUGAAAUGCGCAGAUAUCAGGAAGAACACCCGUGGCGAAGGCGGCUCUCUGGAACGCAAACUGACGCUGAGACGCGAAAACGUGGGGAGCAAACAGG
rnacentral:rRNA from 1 species